rnacentral:rRNA from 1 species
GACGAACGCUGGCGGCGUGCUUAACACAUGCAAGUCGAACGAUGAAGCCCAGCUUGCUGGGUGGAUUAGUGGCGAACGGGUGAGUAACACGUGGGCAACCUGCCCCAAACUCUGGGAUAACCCCUCGAAAGAGGAGCUAAUACCGGAUACGAACUGGCCAGCCAUCUGUACCAGUUGGAAAGUUUUUCGGUUUGGGAUGGGCCCGCGGCCUAUCAGCUUGUUGGUGAGGUAACGGCUCACCAAGGCUACGACGGGUAACCGGCCUGAGAGGGCGACCGGUCACACUGGGACUGAGACACGGCCCAGACUCCUACGGGAGGCAGCAGUGGGGAAUAUUGCGCAAUGGGCGAAAGCCUGACGCAGCGACGCCGCGUGAGGGAUGAAGGUCUUCGGAUCGUAAACCUCUUUCAGUAGGGACGAAGCGAAAGUGACGGUACCUAAAGAAGAAGCACCGGCUAACUACGUGCCAGCCGCCGCAGUAA